GCUGGGGAGUGCGAGCUGAGGCCGCGAAGCUUGCAUGGACUUCCUGGGAACAGCUCAGAGCACAGUGCAGUAUAUACAAAUGACCAACUCCUGUCCCUCGACGACAGUGGCCCAUCUUUGGACACGCCCUGAAGACUGAUGCCCAGGGCUUCUGCGAACAGCUAAGCUUCAUACAGAGAGCCAGAUUCUCACCGCACAGAGGAAGGGGGAGAGCAGAGGAAACGGUCCCGGAUAGGGGAUUGUGAGCGGAGGAUCAUCCGCCCUUGGCCUUGAACAAGCUGAGCUCUGGGAGCUGCAUUGGGUAAGGCUGUGGGCACUGAACAGAGCCUAUGGUGCUUAAACUCACGGGGCCGCUUUACCAUCUGCUGGGGAUCAAGCUGACUCGGUGACUCUUUCGGAAGGAAAGAAUCACAUAUAUGGCUACUAACUUGAUAUCAGAAGUGUGCCUCCUGAGAAAGCUGGGUAUAAUGUCUCUUGAGAGGUCUUUUGUUUUAAGAUUUAUUUCCUUUAUGUAUAUGCGAACGCCAUCACUGCCUUCAGACACACCAGAAGAGGGCAUCAGAUUCCAUUACAGAUGGUUGUGAGCUACCAUGUGGUUGCUGGGAAUUAACUCAGGACCUCUGGAAGAGUAGUCAGUGCCCUUAACUGCUGAGCCAUCUCUCCAGCCCCCUCUUGAGAGAUCUUAUGAGGACAGAGGACAAGGAAACAUCUAAGGCAUUGACGUGCCUGCUCUGGUUGGGACUGAGAUUAAAGACCAAAACCUGACUCUCAAGGCAGAGUACUGAUCCAGGCUCAAUAAAAGCCAGCUCUGCUGGGGACAAGGACAGACCUCUCGGAAGAUGGCUGGGACAGUUGUCUGUGACUGCAGGGUGCUGGCUGUAUUGUUACUUUUCUCAGAGCCAGCACAAAACACCUGACAGAGGCACUUCAAAGAUGGCGGGGUUUAUUUUGGCUCCAGGUUUGAGUACAGCCUGGUCACAGAGGGAAAGGCAUGAUGUCACCGUCGCAGGAGCGUGAGGCAGAGGCUCACACAGCCCUAUCAGGAAGCAGGGAGAUGGAUCUUGGUGCUUGGCUCCCUGUCUGCAGUUUAGUCAGCCUAGGACUCCUGCCCAUGAGAGGGGCCUCCUGCAGUAAGACGGAUCCACUCACACCAAUUAUUGCCAGAAAUUUCCCCAUGGGCAUGCCUAAUGAUUGUCUCCUGGGUGAUUCCAGGUCUUGUCAAGCUGGGCGUCAAUAUCAACCAUCAGAGAGGCCUGAAUGUCUACGACGUUGGUGAACCCUUGAUGGCUGGUCACCAGCUAUGGGAGAAUCUUGCCUCUGAGGGUGACUGGUUCACCCUGGAGCCAAAGUGCCACCCUCACAGUGCUACCCUCACUUAGGAGCCUGACAGCACCCAGUAUGUUAGCCCUCACCCUUCUCUGAGAGCCCACAGGCUUCUGCAUGGCUCUGACAGACAAGCAAGCAGAGGGCAAUUCAGUUCCCAGCGGCAGGCGGCCACUUUCAGCCUCCCGGCCAACAUCCUUGCUUCUAUUCCCUUCUUAUAUAAAUAUUCUUGUUUCCAAGGCUUUUUCUGAAGCUUUUCAAUAGUCCUUCAUCUACAGGAAAUGUCUCUGAACUCCAGCUUGAAAUCCAACCUCCAAAAAUUACAGUGGAACCAUGUGACCCAGACACAUGAAACCCAGAGGGGGGUGAGGAGAAAGAAAGGAGUGGGGAGAGAGAGGGGAGGAGAAGAUGACGGGGGUUGGGGGGAGAUGGGGAAGGAAAAGGGAGAGAAGAAAGAGAAGAGAGGGUGUGGGAGAGGGAGAGAGUGGGAGGGGAGAAGGAGAGAGGGAAGAGAGGGGAGAGAGAGAGAGGGAGAGAAAGGAAGGGAGAGGAGAAGAGAGAGGAAGAGAGAGGGGGAGUGGGAGAGAGAGGAGAGGAAGAGAGAGAAGGAGAGGAAAGAGGGAGAGGGACAGAAAGGAGGAGGAGAAAGAGGGAGAGAGAGCAAUCCCUCUGUUAGGCUGACUCAGGAAGCUGAGGCACAAGACCCUUUUACCCAUGUCUCUUCCCACAAUCCUUAGGAAGCUGGUGGAUGCUGGGAGAUAUCUGAGCGCAGUCACAGUGGCCACUGUGGGAGUCUCAGCUCCGUUUCCUCUGCCCCCCACCCAUCCCAAUGUCCCUCACCUGGUAGGCAGCUUCUCUCAUGAACUGCUUGGCUGGCUGCUUCCAGAUGGCAGGCACUGUGAUGACCCAUCUGACAUCAGAGUUCUCAAAGUCCGACCCUGCCUGAUCACUCAGCUCCUAAUGCCAAGAAGAAUAAGAACAGGAGGAGCUGCCAAAUCCGUUCCAAAAUGCCGAACCAUUUCACCUUUCCACCAGCACUGCCUAAGAACAUACUUGGGGGCUGGAGAGAUGGGUCAGAGGUUAAGAGCACUGACUGCUCUCCCAGAGGUCCUGAGUUCAAAUCUCAGCAACCACAUGGUGGCUCACGACCAUCUGUAAUGGGAUCCGAUGCCCUUUUCUGGUGUGUCCGAAGACGGCUACAGUGUACUCAUAAAUAAAAUAAAUGAGAAAUCCUUUUUUAAAAAGAUCUUUAAAAACAACAACAGUAACAAAAGAACACACUCGACUGUUCUAACCUCGGAGCCCACAUGCUCUCCCUGCAGGCUACACCACUGCCUCACUGGCAGGUGCAGCAACCUGCAGAUGGCCUAACCCAAGGCUGGCUGCCACCGUCCCUAAGGCUCACCUUC